rnacentral:lncRNA from 1 species
AUGUACAGAGAGUGUUCAGACCAAGGACUGAGAGAGGCUGUGUCACAGGAUUAAGCCAGCUAUGCAAACUUGCACAGGGUGAAUCUAUGCAGAAGCAGGAACUCAACUGCAUAUGA